rnacentral:rRNA from 1 species
UGAAGCCCUUCGGGGUGGAUUAGUGGCGAACGGGUGAGUAACACGUGGGCAAUCUGCCCUUCACUCUGGGACAAGCCCUGGAAACGGGGUCUAAUACCGGAUAAUACUUCCACUCGCAUGGGUGGGGGUUGAAAGCUCCGGCGGUGAAGGAUGAGCCCGCGGCCUAUCAGCUUGUUGGUGAGGUAGUGGCUCACCAAGGCGACGACGGGUAGCCGGCCUGAGAGGGCGACCGGCCACACUGGGACUGAGACACGGCCCAGACUCCUACGGGAGGCAGCAGUGGGGAAUAUUGCACAAUGGGCGAAAGCCUGAUGCAGCGGCGCCGCGUGAGGGACGACGGCCUUCGGGUUGUAAACCUCUUUCAGCAGGGAAGAAGCGCAAGUGACGGUACCUGCAGAAGAAGCGCCGGCUAACUACGUGCCAGCAGCCGCGGUAAUACGUAGGGCGCAAGCGUUGUCCGGAAUUAUUGGGCGUAAAGAGCUCGUAGGCGGUCUGUCGCGUCGGAUGUGAAAGCCCGGGGCUUAACCCCGGGUCUGCAUUCGAUACGGGCAGACUAGAGUGUGGUAGGGGAGAUCGGAAUUCCUGGUGUAGCGGUGAAAUGCGCAGAUAUCAGGAGGAACACCGGUGGCGAAGGCGGAUCUCUGGGCCAUUACUGACGCUGAGGAGCGAAAGCGUGGGGAGCGAACAGGAUUAGAUACCCUGGUAGUCCACGCCGUAAACGGUGGGAACUAGGUGUUGGCGACAUUCCACGUCGUCGGUGCCGCAGCUAACGCAUUAAGUUCCCCGCCUGGGGAGUACGGCCGC